rnacentral:hammerhead_ribozyme from 1 species
UUCCAGAUGACGAGUCCCAGAUAGGACGAAGUGAGCAUCCUGGAU